rnacentral:lncRNA from 1 species
ACAUAUCUAAGAGGUAAUCAUACAGUAACAUAACAGACAGGUUAUGUACUCUCCCUAUCACACAUAAUCAAGACUCCCCCUCAAGGGAUCAUCCAAAGCAAAAAUGACCUAUACAAGUUCACACAUCAGGGGCAUAUGUAGAAGAAGAAAAAAAAACUUCACACAACAACAAUUCCUCAAACAAAUUGAUGUCAUGGCAUCAUGCAUGACAUCACUUCACAGCAGCCCAAAAGUUCCAGAACAGGAACUACUCCUUAAACACACUCAAAC